AAUGAACGCUGGCGGCGUGCUUAACACAUGCAAGUCGGAUGUGCCGCAAGGUGCAUGGCAGACGGGUGAGUAACGCGUGGGGAACCUACCUUUUCGUGGGGAAUAACGCUCCGAAAGGAGUGGUAAUACCGCAUGAGACCGAUCGCUGGGAUGCGGUCGGUGAAAGCUGGGGAUCGAAAGACCUGGCGCGAGGAGAGGGUCCUGCGUCUGAUUAGCUAGUUGGUGGGGUAAUGGCCUACCAAGGCGACGAUCAGUAGCCGGCCUGAGAGGGUGAUCGGCCACACUGGAACUGAGACACGGUCCAGACUCCUACGGGAGGCAGCAGUGGGGAAUUUUGCGCAAUGGGCGAGAGCCUGACGCAGCAACGCCGCGUGGGUGAUGAAGGUCUUCGGAUUGUAAAACCCUGUCGUCGGGGACGAAGGUACGCAUGUAAAUAGCGUGUGUGCUUGACGGUACCCGGAGAGGAAGCCCCGGCUAACUCUGUGCCAGCAGCCGCGGUAAUACAGAGGGGGCAAGCGUUAUUCGGAAUUAUUGGGCGUAAAGGGCGCGUAGGCGGUGCCAUAAGUGAGAUGUGUAAUCCCCGAGCUCAACUUGGGAACUGCAUCUCAGACUGUGGUGCUGGAGUGCUGGAGAGGGUGGUGGAAUUCCUCGUGUAGCGGUGAAAUGCGUAGAGAUGAGGAGGAACACCAGUGGCGAAGGCGGCCACCUGGACAGUAACUGACGCUGAGGCGCGAAAGUGUGGGUAGCAAACAGGAUUAGAUACCCUGGUAGUCCACGCUGUAAACGAUGAACACUUGGUGUGGAGGGAGUUGACCCCUUCCGUGCCGUAGC
rnacentral:rRNA from 1 species